UGUUUGAGAUCAGAUGCCACUGAUAAAACCUUGAUGUUUUUUCACUCAGUAAGCUUUUAAAAUAUCUCAUAGUGUGUAGCAAUGCCUGGCUUCUAAAACUCACCAAUUGAGUCUUAGAAGUUUCUUUGAAGAGCUGAGUUCAGGCAGCAAAAUUGGCCCUGCAGGAGGGACUCUGUGCCUGCUCUCCCGUGGCUCCAAGGGAUCUGGUCCUUCACGCCGGCACCGAGAUUUUCUCGGGAAGGGCCUCAGAUCCCUGGACCAGUCUGGGACACAGGCAAGAUCCCCCUGCAUUUAUAAAUGCGGCCUUCUUGUGGCUUCCUACCCGUACCCGUUGGUGGGUUCCAAAGAAGGACUCUUGAAAUCCCUUUUGGGCUGUCCAUUGAAGCCUUGGGACCAAAUUGGCCCCCCUGGAGGGACAGUGCUGUUGGUGCCCCCCGGGUUGGGGCACCCCGAGGACUCCAGCGCGCACCGAAAGGAUUAUUCGGGGAGAUCCUCGGGGUGCCCGGCCCUGGGGACUUCAAAGCAAGGUCCCUGCAAUGGAUUCAGGCAUUGCUGAGAGUAUCCCAGGUGUAGCUGUCCAUGCUAGACAUGGAGCUCUCUAAUGGACUGUAAUUGGGUUCUAAAAGUGGUGCUCCAAGUGCAAAGGAAGUGUGGGAUUGGGAUUAAGAAAUGAGCAGUGAUGGUACAAUUGGCUGUUUUCUCUUGAAUGUAAUGGUGAGAGCUGCAGGAGUGCAAGGUGUGUGUUCCAGUCCCCAGCAUUUGGUUUGCAUGUGUCCUGCUCAGACACAGGUCCAACUUCCUCAGUCCUUAACACAAGAGAAGGAGAAUUAAGGACUGGCAGUGUUAAGGUGAUUGGUGUGACAGGGGUUAAACUGGGAAAACGUUGGGGAAGUCCUCAGUUUCCCUAUUUGCCAAACUCAGCCAAACCUGUGCUAGGAAGAGAUUGAGUGCAAAAGUUGAGGCAGAAAUGAAAUGGAAAACUGGGGAUAUUGAAACUGUAAUUGCUGAAACUAAAUGUGUCCAAGCAGCAGCUCUUGUUGUGCAGGGAAUAACUCCUGUCAGCAGCAAGGUCCCCACUGAAGUGGCAGCUGCAGUUGUUCCUGUGGUGUGGGCCAGUGGACUUGCAGGAGAGUGGAAGAGGGCAGAACCUGAUGUGAAUGCAAGAACCUGCCAAGGAAGCAAUGGCCGAGAUGAUUGAUGAGUGCAGGACCUGAGAGAACCACCUUGAAUGACAAUCUCAAGGAGUUUCCAGUAUUGGAUUUAAAAGAUGGCCUUUGCUGCAUCCCCUUGAGCAAGGAAAGCCAAGAAACCUUUGCCUUUGAAGGAGAAAAUCUGGAAAGGGGAAAGGAAGAAGCGAAGCCACUUGACUCCUCCUGAGCCCCAGACAGCCCAUGAACUGCCUUCCUGGCAAUGGUAGGAUGGGGUGGACUCUGGAUUGCUCCCUCUGGAUGUGUGGUAAGACUGUUAUACCAGCUUUUAAGAACAGCCUGUAAGCAUUUGCUGCCUUGUCUAGAUGGUGCAAGGGCAACCUUUAAGCAGCUAAAGCAUUCCCUGAGGAGAGCUCUGGGUCUGCCAGAUCUCUCAGAAUUGUUGGAAGCAUCUUUGCUGGGGAGGGCAAACAAAGGCCAAGGUGUGCAGUGACCCCCCCAACAAGGGACUUUGAGUUAAUGGCAUCCCUGCAAGUGAACGUUGUGGGCUGUUCCCCCCUUAGGGCAGGUGAUAGUCCCAGCUACAGUGAUGGGGAAAAAAUAGUUAAAAGAGAGUCCCAAAAGCUGGAAAUCCUCCUGGACGCUCUUGGCAAAGAGAGUUUCCUGAGUUGCCCCUGAAAGAAGGACAGUGAUAGCUUUUGAGUGCUAGUAGAUGCUUUUAAUAGAUAGCCUUGAGUGUGUCCUUGUUGCACCAGUAGGCCUUGUCAAAGUCCCCAUCUUCCAGGAGAUAUACCUAUUGAAGUUUAAAAUGAUCUCCAUAAUCCUUUGUUGGCUUGAGGCUCUCCCCUCAGGAACUCCAGGAACUCCUGGUGCCGCCUGGGCCGAUGGAUUGGACGCCCCAGCCCCUCCGUUCCUGCCCAGCCCCUGGGUCUGUGUCAAGUGGUGGCACUGCCAGCCCUGCAGUGGGAUGUAGCCUGGAAACUGCACAGAGCUGAGCCAAGGGAUUUAAAGGGACUAACCAAGGGAGAUGAAGAAAGAAGGAAGAAGGGAAGUGAGGCAGCAGCCAAGCAGCACCAAGUUCCUGUGUAAGCAGUGCACCGACUGAUAUCGUGCUGGAAAAAUAACACACUUCAAUGGGUCAAAGGACCAAAGGAAAGGAUGAGAAGUUGGCUGAGAAUUGAGCCCCGGGGCUGCUGCCCCUGAGGAGCAGGGUAAGGGCUGGUGCUGCGCAGCACGGGGAUCCGUGUGCUGGGACAGUGAUUGGCAGGAGGAAGGGGAGCCUUGACCUCACCUGCCCAGCUCAGGCCAGGCCAAAGCCCUGCUCCAGCCCAGCUCUGCCCAGUGCCCUGGGCUGGGAGCAGCCAAAGGCAAGAGGCUGCAGCCCCGCCGGCCGGGCUGGGGGCUCCUGGUGCUGCCCGUGGGGUGGGAUGCUGGAAUUGCCUCUCUGGGUGUGUGCUGAGCUCUGGCUGCAGGGGACUGUCAGGCCUUGGUGGCUCUGUUCCCUGAUGUCCAUUCACUGGCCUGAAUUCCUUGCAGCUCCCAGCUGGGGAAACCUGGGAUAACAUGGCAGGGACAGAGGUGACCUUUGUAGCUGCAAACUUGGGAUAAUUUCGAAGGGACCCAGCAACUGUUUCUGAAGGAAAAGCCCGCAAUUCCAUGGGGAAUUCCUGCUGGAACAGCCUCCCAGUGCCUCCUGGAGCCCAGCUAUUCCCCUGCAGAGCUGCUGCUUUAAGGCCAGGUUUGCCAGGAAGCAGCCACGGUUCCAGGUUUGCUCAGCGGGAUCGGGACAAGGACAGGUUGAUGUUGCACAGACUUUGCUGUUUGUAACCCUCCUGCCCAUCCCCACUGAUGUCCCUGUGGGAGACAGCUCUGGUUGCCUGGAAAUGACCUGAACAAACAGUUUUGCUGAUGGAUCUGGUCUCCCCCUGGCCGAGUUAUGGAGCAGAAGCACCAACCCCGGCCCAGCUCUCAGUUCUGCAACUGCAAAUCUUCGUAUCCUGUAAAAUGUGUUGAAUUUAAGAACGUUUCCCUGUGUUGCA